GAUGAACGCUGGCGGCGUGCCUAAUACAUGCAAGUCGAGCGAACAGACGAUGAUCUUGCUCCUCUGACGUUAGCGGCGGACGGGUGAGUAACACGUGGAUAACCUACCUAUAAUACUGGGAUAACUUCGGGAAACCGGAGCUAAUACCGGAUAAUAUAUUGAACCGCAUGGUUCAAUAGUGAAAGACGGUGUUGCUGUCACUUAUAGCUGCAUCCCCGCCGUAGUAGCUAGUUGGUAAGGUAACGGCUUACCAAGGCAACGAUGCGUAGCCGACCUGAGAGGGUGAUCGGCCACACUGGAGGUGAGACGCGGACCAGACUCCUACGAGACGGAGCAGUAGGGAAUCUUACGCAAUGGGCGAGAGUCUGACGGAGCAGCGCCGAGUGAGUUGUGGAGGUGUUCGGAUCGUAAUACUCUGUUAUUGGGGAAGAACAAAUGUGUAAGUAACUAUGCCCGUCUUGGCGGUAACUAAUCAGGAAGCAACGGCUAACUACGUG
rnacentral:rRNA from 1 species